GAUGAACGCUGGCGGCGUGCCUAAUACAUGCAAGUCGAGCGAACAGACGAGGAGCUUGCUCCUCUGACGUUAGCGGCGGACGGGUGAGUAACACGUGGAUAACCUACCUAUAAGACUGGGAUAACUUCGGGAAACCGGAGCUAAUACCGGAUAAUAUAUUGAACCGCAUGGUUCAAUAGUGAAAGACGGUUUUGCUGUCACUUAUAGAUGGAUCCGCGCCGCAUUAGCUAGUCGGGAAGGUAACGGGCUACCAAGGCAACGAUGCGUAGCCGACCUGAGAGGGUGAUAGGCCACACUGGAACGGAGACAGGGACCAGACGCCUACGGGAGGCAGCAGUAGGGAAUCUUCCGCAAUGGGCGAAAGCCUGACGGAGCAACGCGGCGUGAGUGAUGAAGGUCUUCGGAUCGUAAAACCCUGUUAUGAGGUAAGAACAAAUGUGUAAGGAACUGUGCCCGUCUUGACGGUACCGAAUCAGAAAGCAACGGCUAACUACGUG
rnacentral:rRNA from 1 species